rnacentral:rRNA from 1 species
CCUACGGGAGGCAGCAGUGAGGAAUAUUGGUCAAUGGACGCAAGUCUGAACCAGCCAUGUCGCGUGCAGGAAGACGGCUCUAUGAGUUGUAAACUGCUUUUGUACGAGGGUAAACGAAGAUACGCGUAUCUGUCUGAAAGGAACGUACGAAUAAGGAUCGGCUAACUCCGUGCCAGCAGCCGCGGUAAUACGGAGGUUUCAAGCGUUAUCCGGAUUUAUUGGGUGUAAAGGGUGCGUAGGCGGUCGGCUAAGGUAGAGGGGAAAUCCCGAGGCUCAACUUCGGAAUUGCCUCUGAUACUGUUUGGCUAGAGAGUAGUUGCGGUAGGCCGAAUGUUUGGUGUAGCCGUU